AUUGCUUCUGUGAAUAGGUAUCUUUUAUACAGGUAACAAGCUGAGAUUAGGAACACUCUCUUUAAGAGCCUGCUCCUAAUCUCAGUUUGUUACCUGUAUAAAAGACACCUGGGAACCAGAAA
rnacentral:miRNA from 1 species